rnacentral:rRNA from 1 species
UACGAAGGGGGCUAGCGUUGCUCGGAAUCACUGGGCGUAAAGCGCACGUAGGCGGCUUUUUAAGUCAGGGGUGAAAUCCAUGGAGCUCAACUCCAGAACUGCCUUUGAUACUGAGAAGCUUGAGUCCGGGAGAGGUGAGUGGAACUGCGAGUGUAGAGGUGAAAUUCGUAGAUAUUCGCAAGAACACCAGUGGCGAAGGCGGCUCACUGGCCCGGUACGUGACGCUGAGGUGCGAAAGCGUGGGGAGCAAACAGGG